ACCCGCGGCCAGCAACCUGGAGACGCCGCUCUUUUUUGGGUGCGGGGAGUUCCGGAGGCUGUGGGGCGGAGAAGCGAAAUGCCACCCUCUCUCGAGCUCUGAAGCAAAUGACGAUACGGAGCGCUCUCGCCCCCUCCCAACACAGUGGGAGCCCUUGAUUCGAUCCCGAAGGAGGCGAGCGAGCAAGAGCCUGGAUCUACAUGGCUCGCGUGUCCCUUCCGCUUUCCGCACCCCCACGCAGACCUCGCCGAGGCUACGCGGCGCUCCGGGAGCUGUUCCGAGCUCCGAGUGGGGCAGGGAGUUGAAGUUUUCUUGCCAUCAGAUUAUUUUGAAAUACUGAGAAUGCGGCUUGUGGGAAACCAAAAGCUCCGUGGGCUCAUGGACGUGUCUGCCAACUUGGGGCUAAGUGUCAUGAAUCUGAGAAGCAAGUUGCAUGCCCACCUCCCACCUACGUCACUCCUCCCGAAGCCUCUUUUUCCGGCCUAAUGCCUCCACUGGGCCACUUGCAAGUCUUGCCACUGCUUAGGGAAAGGGUCUGCACCCGGGCGCAGGGCAGCAAAGGCCGGGGGCGGCGUGCGCGGUGCACGGCGAGUGCGGCUCCAGCUGCGCCCGCAGAGGCGCUGCACCUUGGCGCCUGCAGCAGGAGAGCAGCCAGCCAGCAGCUCCGGUACUUCGACUGCUGCCGAGUCUCCAAGGAGGCUGCAAGAACCCAGAGUCGCAGCCGAUUGGUUCCCUAGCUGCACUGGGACCACCCCUUCGCACCACCGCGACCGCGAUGCCUCCCGCCUCCGCUACCCACCUCUUUAAUCAAAGCCAAAGAUUGCAUCCUCCCCGCUCUAUUGUGGCUAGAGGGAAGCGGGGGCCUCUGCGGGGUUGCCCAGGCAGCGCAACAAUCCUGGGUACAGAACUAGCUAAGUCCCUCCUCCAGAUUGCGACUCCCGCAUUUCUUUCAGAAAAAAAUAAUAAUAAGUAUUUGUUCCCUCCACUCCUUCGGAGCCAUAUCCCAGCUUUUCUUUUUACAAACAAUGAGUUACCUAAAACUCCUCCUUCCCCUAGGAAGGACUGCCCUUUCCCCACCUUCCACACACAUAUUCCUGGAUCCCACUUACUCCAUGCUCCCUUACCUUCCUAGCCUACGGCUUUAUUGAAGAAAAAAGAAGCUAAGAAAGAAAAGAAAUAAGAAGCUUUGCAUUGAAAUACUGUCAAGGCCCUUGUUUUGGUUGCUGCUGCUCCCCAGGCUAUGCUGCUGCUAUAGCUCUAACCCCAAAUCGCUCUGCGGCCAGACGGGAUAAAUAUUUUCUGACAUGUCCCAGCAAUAUUGGGCUUCCAAACCUGCUACUGUCCCUCCCUUUGCCCCCUUCCUUCUUUUAAAUGUUUCUAAAACUGUCAUCUCCCUAGCUUCACAUGAGUGCGCUUGCCCCCAAUUCAGUAUUGGGAGGUCACCUUACAGAAGAGAUUUAGAGACUGGAUGAGAUCCCAGGUUCCUCAAUUCAACGUUUUAUUAAGAGGGCAUAGUAAGAUCAGGAAGUUUUCAACAUCCCUGGAGGAUGUCUUUAGAACAGGACUGGACCUCCAAGGAAUUGGAAGAGAGUCGCUGAGCUGAGCUAGGAAUUCAUCAUUCUUGAUGCAAGUGAGAGUCUGGAGGUAUUUAUUCGUUCAACAACUUGCUUAGUUCCAGGAGUUCCCAUUGUGGCUCCGUGGGUUAAGAACACGAUGCAAUGUCCCUGAGGACACGGGUUCCAUCCCUGGCUUCAAUCAGUGGGUUAAGGAUCCAGCAUUGCUGCAAGCUGCAGUGUAAGUCACAGAUGCAGCCUGGAUCCAGUGUGGCUGUGGCUGUGGCCUAGGCUCCAGCUGCAGCUCGGAUUUGACCCCUGGCCCCUGGCAUAUAGAAACUUCUACAUGCUGCAGGCGCAGCCGUAAAAAGAAAAAAUGAAAACACUUUGCUUAAUUCCAGGUAUAUCUCAGACCUCUCGAGCCCACAUUCUUGUGGGAGAGACAAGGAAUUGGACUAUACCUUAUAAUGUUAGGGGAAAAAAACUUUUAAGGAGAUAGAGAGUGAUAAAUAUAGAUUUGCAUGGAUAAGAAGGGCCUCCCUGCAGAGGUAACAUUUGAGCAAAGGACUUCAAGAAGAAAGAGAUCAAAGAACAGGAAUGUCAGGAGGAUGGAAGAGCAAAUGCAAACAUUCUAAGGCAAAGACAAGCUCAGCAUAUUUGGGAAACAAAAGAGGGCUGGAAAGAAGUGAGCAAGGAAGAGGGAUGGAGAAAGUGGGUCAGAAAAGUGGGCAGGCAGAUCAUGCAGGGCCUCUUAAGCCACUCUACAAAUAUUUCGUUUGCUUCUGAGUGCAAGAGGAAGAUAUUGGAGAACUUGCAUCCCUGCAGUAACAUAAUAUGAUUUGCCGUUUUUAAUGGUUAUUCUGGCGGCUAGAAACAGAGUGUGAGAGCUGGAGGUUAUCAAGUAACACAAGCAAAGAUGGUUUAAACAAGGAAGAUAGUGGUGGGCAUAGGAUUACAUUGUGAAAACUGAGAUGAGGAGUUCCCUCUGUGGCGCAAUGGAAUUGGAGGUGUCUCUGCAGCGCCAGGACUCAGGUUCAAUCCCUGGUUCCAGUGGGCUAAAGGAUCCAGCAUUGCCACAGCAGAGGCAUACAGCUGUGGCUGGGAUCUGACCCCUGGCCUGGGACCUCCAUUUGCCACUGGGUGGCCAAAAAAAACCAAAGAUGACAGGAUUUUGGAUGUGGGGGAAGGACACAUGUCAAGAAUGUCUCCUAGGUCCAAAGUCUUAGCAACUAGGUGGAUGGUGACGUCAUUUACUGGAGGAGUGUGCUGGACAGCACCUGUCCCACUGGAUUGUGAGCCACACAAAGUCUGGGACCGUGUGUGUCUUAGUUACUACUGUCCUGGGCUAUGGAGGCCUUUCCUCAGAAUCUCCUUGCUUCUCCAUUCUUUCCUCAGGCCACUUGCCCUGUCUCAGCUGCUGCUGAAACAGCCAGCUCUGUGAAGGCAGCAGAGUUCUGCCUAAUGAGGUUGCAAUGCAUUCCAGUGCAACGCGUGGAAACUGGAUUCCUCAAGAUGGCAAAAAGGUCCAAGUGACCAGCACAGCCACAUGGAGGCAUCAACUCAGUGGACCAUUGAGAGUUGCCUGGUAGGAGAUAUGGGGUAGGAUGGAGCCUGGAGAUAAAUUCUCUCUCUUCAGUCUUUUCAAGGACAAGUAACCACAUGGUCUAGUGACAAGGCUGCAUCUCCUUGUGGUUCAUGAAGUAGUGGCCAGCUUGUAACUAACUACGUUGGUUUUUUUUUUUUUUUUUUUUUGUCUUUUUGCCAUUUCUUGGGCCACUCCCGCGGCAUAUGAAGGUUGCCAGGCUAGGGGUUGAAUUGGAGCUGUAGCAGCCUGCCUACGCCAGAGUCACAGCAACGUGGGAUCCGAGCCACAUCUGCAACCUACACCACAGCUCACAGCAACGCUGGAUCCUUAACCCACUGAGCAAGGCCUGGGAUCGAACCCGCAACCUCAUGGUUCCUAGUUGGAUUUGUUAACCACUGCGCCACCACGGGAACUCCUCACCACGUUGUUUUUGCACCCUUUCUUCCCCUUUUCCCUUCUUCUCCCUGCCCAGGAUCACACCUUCCAUUAACAUAUUGUCUCAGGUUCUGUUUUCUAGGGAACCUGGGCUGAGGUAGGCAUCCAGCCUUCAGUCCGAGACCUGUUAAGUUUGAGCAAGCUGUUAAAUAGCCAGUGCAGAUGCUGAGUGGGAAACUGGACAUGCAAGUCAGUCUAUACAGUUCAGAGGAGAGAUCUAGGUAGAUCCGGGUUUUUCAGCCUUGGCACUUGGUCUGGGUGCUUUUUGGUUGUGGAUAGCAUUUUUGUUUUGUUACUCUGCAUUUUUGGAGGUUCCGCAGCAUUCCUGCCUUCUACCUGCCAGCUGCCAGUGGCACCUGCUCCCAGUUAUGACAUGUCUCCAGACAUUGCCAAAGUUUCCCUGAGUUGGGGGGGGGGCAAAAAUCACCCCCUUUGGGAACCACUGGGGUGGAUAGUAGUUAAAGCCAGAAUCCUGGACUAGCACACUGGGACAUGAAGGCAGAAAGAGAAGAGGCAGUGUUCAGAGACUGCACCUCAGGAUGCCCUAAUUCUUCGAGGUCAAAGAAGGAAGUACCUGCAAGGGAGAUGGAGAAAGAGUGACUGGUAAGGUCAGCAACGGGAGAGCGCGCGGGGGGGUGGGGUCUGUGAAAGCAAAGGAGUACAGUGUUCCAAGAAGGAGAGGGAAGGAUUGAUUUUGUUAAACUCUGCAAAUAGAUUGAAUAGAAUGAGGACAUUAGAACCAACUACUGGGUUUAGAAAAACGGAGUUGAGGAGAUAGAAAGCCCCUUCUCUUUCGGUCAUCUUGGAGCCUGUUGAGGCCUGCAGGGAAGAAGGCUUCAAAAACAACAAAUACGAUGGGAAGGUUGUGGUCCAAAGUCUUUUAUUCUGGUUAUAAGUGGGGUCUCCGGAAGCAGAGGAAGCACACGGCUCUUCUUAAAAUUGAAGGUGUUUAUGCCUGAGAUGAAACUGAAUUUUAUCUAGGCAAGAGAUGUGCUUAUGUGUACAAAGCAAAGAAUAACACAGUGACGCCUGGAAGAAAAUCUAACAAAACCAGAGUAACCUGGGGAAAGGUAACGCGUGCUCAUGGCCCCAGUGGCAUGGAUCGGGCCAAAUUCCAAAGCAACCUUCCAGCUAAGGCCAUUGGACACAGAAUCCAUGUGAUGCUGUACCCGUCAAGGAUUUAAACUUAUUGAAAAAUAAAUAAA
rnacentral:lncRNA from 1 species